GGCGAGGCGGCCCCUGGACGAGACUGACGCUCAGUGCGAAAGCGUGGGGAGCAAACAGGAUUAGAUACCUGGUAGUCCACGCUGUAAACGAUGUCGAUUUGGAGGUUGUGCCCGUGAGGCGUGGCUUCCGGAGCUAACGCGUUAAAUCGACCGCUGGGGAGUACGGCCGCAAGGUUAAAACUCAAAUGAAUUGACGGGGGCCCGCACAGCGGUGGAGCAUGUGGUUUAAUUCGAUGCAACGCGAAGAACCUUACCUACUCUUGACAUCCAGAGAACCUAGCAGAGAUGCUUUGGUGCCUUCGGGAACUCUGAGACAGGUGCUGCAUGGCUGUCGUCAGCUCGUGUUGUGAAAUGUUGGGUUAAGUCCCGCAACGAGCGCAACCCUUAUCCUUUGUUGCCAGCGGUUCGGCCGGGAACUCAAAGGAGACUGCCAGUGAUAAACUGGAGGAAGGUGGGGAUGACGUCAAGUCAUCAUGGCCCUUACGAGUAGGGCUACACACGUGCUACAAUGGCGUAUACAAAGAGAAGCGACCUCGCGAGAGCAAGCGGACCUCAUAAAGUACGUCGUAGUCCGGAUUGGAGUCUGCAACUCGACUCCAUGAAGUCGGAAUCGCUAGUAAUCGUAGAUCAGAAUGCUACGGUGAAUACGUUCCCGGGCCUUGUACACACCGCCCGUCACACCAUGGGAGUGGGUUGCAAAAGAAGUAGGUAGCUUAACCUUCGGGAGGGCGCUUACCACUUUGUGAUUCAUGACUGGGGUGAAGUCGUAACAAGGUAACCA
rnacentral:rRNA from 1 species